UGUUAGGUUGCUAGCUGCAAAGUGGCUACUUUGCUCACUUGCUAAUGUUGAUGUGGUUUAAGGCUAUAUUUCUGCUCUUCCUCUGAAACAGGAAGAAGCAGAGACACUGCAAGAAGUGACCAGAUCCUGUCAUGCACAUGCACUCUGCUGUAGACAUGAUUUACCCUCUGAUUCUCUCUGGAAUUUUACUUCACAUCACAGGUCAACUUCUGACAGCCGAUGAAAAUGGUUGAAUAUGUAAAAUAUAUUUUUAUAUCUCAAAAUCAACUUAUUGUAUAACUGAUACAACUAGUUUCUCAAAAAGUGAAAUGAUCAUACAUAAUCUUCUCAAGCAAAGAGAGAAAGAGCUCUAGUGAGCAUCAGUGUCAAAAUAUGCUAAUUUGUGAUUGAUAAAACUUAAUACACUUGCCACCCAGAUCCCGUUAUUAGUGGAACAGAGAUGUAAAUAAAAGUGUGAUGUAACUUAAAGAAGUGUGGAAGUGCAUCAGUUACUAACUUUGUGUGUUAAAAUGCAGUUAUUGUGAUUGGUUUGCUCAGUAAACUUUGCUGCUGUCUGGUUGACCAAGGCUUCAACUCUAAUGAAACACACCUGAACAAGCUAAUCAAGGUCUGAAGGGUUACUAGAAAGCUACAGGCAGGUGAGAUUAAAUUAAGGUUGGAGUUGAACUCUGCAGGGCUGUGGCUCUCCAGGACCGGAGUUCACGGUUAGUUUAUUUAAUGAGUGAUAUGUUGCUUUCUUUAUAUUUUUUUUCUGUAUUGUUUGUGCAUAAAAUGCAGAUCUACUCUAAACCUGAAGAUCCACCGAUAUACAGCACUAUAAAUGAUGAAAACCCAAAUGAUCUCAACAAGGACAUAAUCUACUACAGUACUAUUGAUGAUGUUCCUGGGAGUGAAGCAGUGAGGCCUCCAGCAGGCGGAGCGAUAUACAGCAUAAUAUACAGCACUGUGGAUCCACACUGACUGCAACAGUGAAGAACUCAGGAACAGAACCUUCUGACCAUGAGAAACAAAAUCAGGAUCAGAGGACUGUCAUCACAACUUUUUUGUAGUUUUUUGUAUUAUCUGCUUAUAAUUUCUUCACUGUAAGUUUACUUGUACAGUUUUAUGUUGUUUGCAUUAAUACAAACAAGCAUGGGCCUAUUUAUGAUGAAAUAAAAGUAUUUUGCAGUUG